UCGAUGCUACCUCUCUCGCGAAGAACAGUGACAACAACACCUUCUCAGGGUGCUUUCGGUUCUCUCAUGUUCAAGUGAACAAAAACAAGAACUUCCGGCCUCUUUUGAUUGAAGACAAACUCAAGACAAUUCAACAAUUAACAGCAAUAUUGAGCGUGAGGUAUGAAGAUAACUUACCUGCGGCUAGAAGAUUUUAGCCGGAUUAGUGUUGCA